UCCUGGUUAGCUCAGUUGGUAGAGCGUUCCACUGGAAAUGGAGAGGUCCCAUGGUUCGAUACCAGGGCCAGGCG
rfam:Ixodes scapularis strain Wikel colony gcontig_1107728802076, whole genome shotgun sequence.